rnacentral:rRNA from 1 species
GAUGAACGCUGACAGAAUGCUUAACACAUGCAAGUCGAUGGGGAAGUGGUGCUUGCACCAUGGUAACCAUGGCGGACGGGUGAGUAACGCGUAAGGAACUUGCCUGCGGGACUGGGAUAACAGCAGGAAACUGCUGAUAAUACCGGAUAAGGUCAUUAAGCUGCAUAGCUUAGUGAUGAAAGGAGACGCCUGCGGAGAGCCUUGCGUCCUAUUAGCUAGUUGGAGGGGUAACGGCCCACCAAGGCGAAGAUAGGUAGCCGGCCUGAGAGGGUGGACGGCCACAAGGGGACUGAGAUACGGCCCUUACUCCUACGGGAGGCAGCAGUGGGGAAUAUUGGACAAUGGGGGCAACCCUGAUCCAGCAAUUCUGUGUGCACGAAGACGGUUUUCGGAUUGUAAAGUGCUUUCAGAAGAGAAGAAGGAAGUGACGGUACCUGCAGAAGAAGCGACGGCUAAAUACGUG